rnacentral:tRNA from 1 species
GGCUUCGUAGCUCAGAUGGUAGAGCGCUUCCUGUGUAGAGGCAUGAUGUUUCUGUCGCUGGUUCGAAUCCAACCGAAGCCC